rnacentral:rRNA from 1 species
UACGAAGGGGGCUAGCGUUGCUCGGAAUCACUGGGCGUAAAGCGCACGUAGGCGGAUCUUUAAGUCAGGGGUGAAAUCCCAAGGCUCAACCUUGGAACUGCCUUUGAUACUGGGGAUCUCGAGUCCGGAAGAGGUUGGUGGAACUGCGAGUGUAGAGGUGAAAUUCGUAGAUAUUCGCAAGAACACCAGUGGCGAAGGCGGCCAACUGGUCCGGAACUGACGCUGAGGUGCGAAAGCGUGGGGAGCGAACGGG